GACGAACGCUGGCGGUGUGCUUAACACAUGCAAGUCGAGCGGAGCGGCGAACGGGUGAGUACCGCGUGGGUAACUGCCCCCCUCUCUGGGAUAACAGUUGGAAACGGCUGCUAAUACCGGAUAGUGGGGGAUGACUCGCGUCCUAUCAGCUUGUGGGUGGGGUAUGGGCCUUCCAAGGGGAGGACGGGUAGCCGGCCGGAGAGGGAGACCGGCCACAUGGGUCUGAGAUACGGCCCAAACUCCUACGGGAGGCAGCAGUGGGGAAUAUUGCACAAUGGUGGAAACCCUGAUGCAGCAACGCCGCGGGCGGGAUGACGGCCUUCGGGUUGUAAACCGCUUUCAGCCAUGACGCGGUAGUGGCAGAAGAAGCACCGGCUAACUACGUGCCAGCAGCCGCGGUAAUAC
rnacentral:rRNA from 1 species